GCGGUAUUAGCUCAGUUGGUAGAGCACUAGCUUCCCAAGCUGGGGGUCGCGAGUUCGAGUCUCGUUUACCGCU
rnacentral:tRNA from 2 species